GAUGAAGAACGCAGCGAAAUGCGAUAAGUAAUGUGAAUUGCAGAAUUCAGUGAAUCAUCGAAUCUUUGAACGCACCUUGCACCCUUUGGCAUUCUGAAGGGUAUGCUCGUUUGAGUGUCAUUGUACUCUCACACUCCCGAUCUUUGCAUUGGGAGCAGUGGACUUGGGUUUGCUGCUUCACCGUCGCUUACCUCAAAUAGGUUAGUGCAACUCUUGGUUGGACAUAGUACGGCGUGAUAAGUGUUCUUCGCCGGUGCCUCGCAAAGAGGGUGGCCGAUCGGGAUGUUGUGCUCCAAACCGUCUUCGGACAAUCUCUGACGACUUGACCUCAAAUCGAGUAAGACUACCCGCUGACCUUAAGCAUAUCAAUAAGCGGAGUA
rnacentral:misc_RNA from 1 species